rnacentral:lncRNA from 1 species
CUCUGUGCAGUUUGGACACCGCCUUAUAGUACGAUCAAACCAUUCACUUCCAUAAUCACUGCAGUGGACCAAUUAUUUUGACUUUGAGGAAGAGCUAGAAGUCCCACACUGCGAGAUCUGUUUUCUGGUCUUUCCAGCAGUCAAGGACAGGCAAAAUCGUUAAUUGAGGAAGUUGGUAGCUGCGCUUUGGCAGAUUUCCAGAAAGCGCUCACUGCAUAUGUAGGGUCAAGGCAAUGGCGCAGGGCCCUGUACAACACAGACCACAUCCAGAGUCACCGGCCUAGGGCACGUCAGUGGUCCUGGAAGUUCAUCACACCAUUGCUCCUGAAGCCAAACUGCCUGGCGUGAAAUCCCUGUUUCACACUUGAAAUUAUCCAGUCUCUCUGUGCAUGUACUGAGUUUCUCAUUGGUAAAGUGAUAAUAAAAUAUUCAUAUGGUUGUUAUAAGAUCAAGACAAUAUAUAUUUCAAAUAGAGAAGUUCUAGGGCAGAGUAAGUGUUCGAUAAGUAUUAGUUGUUGUGGUUGUUCUUGUAUUAUUGUAUGUCAACAUAUUUUUAAAUAAUCCUCUGUCAUACAUGCUUUAAGUAGCUGAUGGUUUUGAGACUAUUCUAUUCCAAUAGUCUGUCUAUUCUUGAGCCAUUACUAAAGUAUUUUAAUUGU